GACGAACGCUGGCGGCGUGCUUAACACAUGCAAGUCGAACGGUGAGGCUCCAGCUUGCUGGGGUACACGAGUGGCGAACGGGUGAGUAACACGUGGGUGACCUGCCCUGCACUUCGGGAUAAGCCUGGGAAACUGGGUCUAAUACCGGAUAGGACCGCACCGUGAGGGUGUGGUGGAAAGUUUUUUCGGUGUGGGAUGGGCCCGCGGCCUAUCAGCUUGUUGGUGGGGUAAUGGCCUACCAAGGCGGCGACGGGUAGCCGGCCUGAGAGGGUGGACGGCCACAUUGGGACUGAGACACGGCCCAGACUCCUGCGGGAGGCAGCAGUGGGGAAUAUUGCACAAUGGGCGGAAGCCUGAUGCAGCGACGCCGCGUGGGGGAUGACGGCCUUCGGGUUGUAAACUCCUUUCACCAUCGACGAAGGGUUUCUGACGGUAGAUGGAGAAGAAGCACCGGCUAACUACGUGCCAGCAGCCGCGGUAAUACGUAGGGUGCGAGCGUUGUCCGGAAUUACUGGGCGUAAAGAGCUCGUAGGUGGUUUGUCGCGUCGUCUGUGAAAUUCCGGGGCUUAACUCCGGGCGUGCAGGCGAUACGGGCAUAACUUGAGUACUGUAGGGGAGACUGGAAUUCCUGGUGUAGCGGUGAAAUGCGCAGAUAUCAGGAGGAACACCGGUGGCGAAGGCGGGUCUCUGGGCAGUAACUGACGCUGAGGAGCGAAAGCAUGGGGAGCGAACAGGAUUAGAUACCCUGGUAGUCCAUGCCGUAAACGGUGGGCGCUAGGUGUGGGUUUCCUUCCACGGGAUCCGUGCCGUAGCUAACGCAUUAAGCGCCCCGCCUGGGGAGUACGGCCGCAAGGCUAAAACUCAAAGGAAUUGACGGGGGCCCGCACAAGCGGCGGAGCAUGUGGAUUAAUUCGAUGCAACGCGAAGAACCUUACCUGGGCUUGACAUAUACAGGAUCGCGCCAGAGAUGGUGUUUCCCUUGUGGCUUGUAUACAGGUGGUGCAUGGUUGUCGUCAGCUCGUGUCGUGAGAUGUUGGGUUAAGUCCCGCAACGAGCGCAACCCUUAUUGUUAGUUGCCAUCAUUGAGUUGGGCACUCUAGCGAGACUGCCGGUAAUAAACCGGAGGAAGGUGGGGAUGACGUCAAAUCAUCAUGCCCCUUAUGACCUGGGCUACACACGUGCUACAAUGGCUGGUACAACGAGUCGCAAGCCGGUGACGGCAAGCUAAUCUCUGAAAGCCAGUCUCAGUUCGGAUUGUAGGCUGCAACUCGCCUACAUGAAGUCGGAAUCGCUAGUAAUCGCGGAUCAGCACGCCGCGGUGAAUACGUUCCCGGGCCU
rnacentral:rRNA from 1 species